GACGAACGCUGACGGCGUGCUUUACACAUGCAAGUCGAACGGCAGCACGGACUUCGGUCUGGUGGCGAGUGGCGAACGGGUGAGUAAUGUAUCGGAACGUGCCCAGUCGUGGGGGAUAACGUAGUGAAAACUACGCUAAUACCGCAUACGAUCUAUGAAUGAAAGCGGGGGAUCGCAAGACCUCGCGCGAUUGGAGCGGCCGAUAUCAGAUUAGGUAGUUGGUGGGGUAAAGGCCCACCAAGCCAACGAUCUGUAGCUGGUCUGAGAGGACGACCAGCCACACUGGAACUGAGACACGGUCCAGACACCUACGGGAGGCAGCAGUGGGGAAUUUUGGACAAUGGGCGAAAGCCUGAUCCAGCCAUUCCGCGUGCAGGAUGAAGGCCCUCGGGUUGUAAACUGCUUUUGUACAGAACGAAAAGGUUUCUACUAAUACUAGGAGCUCAUGACGGUACUGUAAGAAUAAGCACCGGCUAACUACGUGCCAGCAGCCGCCGUAA
rnacentral:rRNA from 1 species